AGUGGACGCUGGCGGUAGGCCUAACACAUGCAAGUCGAACGGCAGCACAGUAAGAGCUUGCUCUUACGGGUGGCGAGUGGCGGACGGGUGAGGAAUACAUCGGAAUCUACUUUUUCGUGGGGGAUAACGUAGGGAAACUUACGCUAAUACCGCAUACGACCUACGGGUGAAAGCAGGGGAUCUUCGGACCUUGCGCGAUUGAAUGAGCCGAUGUCGGAUUAGCUAGUUGGCGGGGUAAAGGCCCACCAAGGCGACGAUCCGUAGCUGGUCUGAGAGGAUGAUCAGCCACACUGGAACUGAGACACGGUCCAGACUCCUACGGGAGGCAGCAGUGGGGAAUAUUGGACAAUGGGCGAAAGCCUGAUCCAGCCAUGCCGCGUGGGUGAAGAAGGCCUUCGGGUUGUAAAGCCCUUUUGUUGGGAAAGAAAAGCAGCAGGUUAAUACCCCGCUGUUCUGACGGUACCCAAAGAAUAAGCACCGGCUAACUUCGUG
rnacentral:rRNA from 1 species